rnacentral:rRNA from 1 species
ACGGCUCAGUAACACGUGGACAACCUACCCUUAGGACGGGGAUAAACCCGGGAAACUGGGUAUAAUACCCGAUAGAUCUCGGCUGCUGGAAUGCAUCGAGAUCUAAAGCUCCGGCGCCUAAGGAUGGGUCUGCGGCCUAUCAGGUAGUAGUGGGUGUAGUGUACCUACUAGCCUACGACGGGUACGGGUUGUGAGAGCAAGAGCCCGGAGAUGGAUUCUGAGACACGAAUCCAGGCCCUACGGGGUGCAGCAGGCGCGAAAACUUUACAAUGCUGGCAACAGCGAUAAGGGGACCUCGAGUGCCAGGUUACAAAUCUGGCUGUCGUGAUGCCUAAAAAGCAUUGCAUAGCAAGGGCCGGGCAAGACCGGUGCCAGCCGCCGCGGUAACACCGGCGGCUCGAGUGGUAACCGUUAUUAUUGGGUCUAAAGGGUCUGUAGCCGGCCGGAUAAGUCUCUUGGGAAAUCUGGCAGCUUAACUGUCAGGCUUUCAGGAGAUACUGUCUGGCUCGAGGCCGGGAGAGGUGAGAGGUACUCCAGGGGUAGGGGUGAAAUCUUGUAAUCCUUGAAGGACCACCAGUGGCGUAGGCGUCUCACCAGAACGGACCUGACGGCAAGGGACGAAAGCUAGGGGCACGAACCGGAUUAGAUACCCGGGUAGUCCUAGCCGUAAACGAUACUCGCUAGGUGUCGGCCACGGUGCGACCGUUGUCGGUGCCGUAGGGAAGCCGUGAAGCGAGCCACCUGGGAAGUACGGCCGCAAGGCUGAAACUUAAAGGAAUUGGCGGGGGAG